rnacentral:misc_RNA from 1 species
GGGAGCCGAAUGCCUGAAUUGGGCACGUUCGGAUCUAAGCGGGGGGUAUCGGGUAACGGGUAUUCCUACCGCAAU